GAUGUAGAAAGUGAACCAGUGGUAGAAAGCACAGAAACUGAGGGGACAUAAUCAUCACUCAGUAGGUUAAUGAUGAAAUGGCAGGUAAUUCACACUUUUGGACAGAGCACACCGCCCCCGUGGAAUCACCCUACAGAAGAGGCCAGCUAUAAAGGAUGUCUCACACCUUUAAGAUCAGUGUUUCUCAAUGUGUGGACCAUGGAUACCUGUAUUAGAAUACCCAAAGGAUUUGUUUAAAAUUCAGGCUGAGCCCUUCCCAAGACCUAAUAGAGCUAAAAGCUUUGGGAGUAGGUGGAGGAAGCCUGCAUCUUUACCCAGCAAUCCAGGACAGAAUGACUUGGAAGAUAAUGGAGCUUCGAAGCUUCUAGCAGAAUAUGAAGUCUUUCAUCUUCAGCUACCUGGGUUAAGUUUAAGCAGAUGGCAGCAUGGGGACACUGAGGAUGAUUGGAGAUGUUGGACACUCAGGAGCAGAAUGACUCUGAAACAGUCAAGAGGCAGCAAGCCUGGAGCUUCUUCCAAAUCUUCUUGAAUUCUCCUUUGAAACUCACCAGCAAAUGCUGACCUGGGAAUUUGAAAACAGCACACUAAAAUGGAGAUAUCAACUCACUUCCUGAACUUUAAACUGUGUGGCUCUGUGGCUGGAGUGCAGCCAUCCAGUUCUUCAAGGUGCUUCCACGGGACCAUAUUGUUACUGGGGUGAAUAACCUUUGAGACCCCUUAACAGAAACACACUCUUGUUUGUGAAAUGAAUGGUUGCAGAUUGCAAGU
rnacentral:sRNA from 1 species